UACGGGGGGAGCAAGCGUUGUUCGGAUUUACUGGGCGGAAAGCGUGCGUAGGCGGCUCGCUAAGUCGGUUGUGAAAUCCCUGGGCUUAACCUGGGAACUGCAGUCGAUACUGGCGGACUAGAGUACGGUAGAGGGUGGCGGAACUCCGGGUGUAGCGGUGAAAUGCGUAGAUAUCCGGAAGAACACCGAUGGCGAAGGCAACCACCUGGGCCUGUACUGACGCUGAGGUACGAAAGCGUGGGGAGCAAACAGG
rnacentral:rRNA from 1 species